AUGCUUUAAACAAUUAACUACAACAGAUGACAGUAGAUCAAGAAACACAUGAUUCUAUCAAGUUCUUUCUAACCUUAGUUGCAAGGUGCUAUAACCAUCCCUACCUAGUGUGGGACUUGACAUGGUUUUGCCACUGCCUUCCUGAAGCCAAAUACACUGGAAGGGCUGAUACCUUGAAAACUUGAGUCAACUUUUCCUACCCUUUCUUUGGUUUCUCCUUCAGGCAUAUAUAGCAAACAAUACAUGAGCCCUAUAAACUAUUAUAGAUGGUCUUAUCUUACAAUUUAGUUGGCCAUUGCUUCUAAAAUUCCUCUGAUGCGCUUGCUAUAAAGGCAGCUGGUGACGUAAUUUUUCUUCUUUCUUCCAAACUUGUCAUUAGACAUUUUACCUGUCAUUUUUUUUUAUUUUCCCUCACCUUAAUUUUUUUUAUUAAAACAUUGAUUAAGUAUUUAUACCACAACAUACUUCUGUAACAUGCAAGACCUGCACGCAUGGCAACCAUUUUUGGCUGAUUCAACCGUACAGGAGCUCAAACUUAAUAUUAUUCUUUGUUCAUUUACUAUAAGAAAGUAGCUUAGGUUAAAACCAGUGACUCGGGUAUCAUCCAAGAUUUGGUGCUGGCAAAAUCAGUUGCUUACUGGAAUUAGCUUCGAGAUUCGAUUUAGCAUGCUAGGUAUUUGCCCAUUUUGGAUUUCUUGUUUGAGACAACCUACACAGGGACUACAACUUUAGGGUAACUUCCAAAUUCCACAAGAUCCAGCUGAUGACAAGAUGUAAGUUUUUGUAUCCACCGAUUGAAAAAUUUCUCUGAUUAACAUUCGAGGAUUGUGGGUACUUAGUUCUGUUCAUCAUUCAAGUAAACCAGUGGGCUUACUGGUUGUGCGGGUCUUCAAAUUGUUGAAAUAUCUAGUCUGAGCCUGCACUAAGUUUGUGAAGGUUUGAGAAUCAUUUUUGUCAGUAUCUGAUGACAUUCCAAAAGCUCAUGCCCUCCUAUUAAGCUGACACUAAGAGCAAUGGGAGUCUCAACAGGUUGUGAUACAGCAUUUUUUCUUUUCGGCGAGACCUUUUUUGAGAUGAUCAAUUGAUUUCAAGAAACCCAACAGGUUCCAAAAGAAUCCAAUAUCUCAUACCACAUCCAACAAGCACUACUGAGGAGAAUUAUAAAGAAUACAUGGUGCUAUUUCAGUGUAGUGCCCCUUUGUUACUUCUUCCAGAAAGGCAGAAUGAUCAAACGCAGCAAGGGUCUGUGACUCUGUGCAAGAACGUUGAGUCUUCUCCAAGCCUGAUCGGUUCUGUUCUCAAAAGACUUGGACUAUAUCAUAGAAAAGAACAUCAGAAGGACACAUGAUGUUACCACCUCCAGCGCUUUGAAGGUUCCCAUCGCAAUGAAAGGAGAGUGCAAGAAAGAAGCAAACUAGAAGAUGAGAACCUACCAUGUUAAGUAUGGCAUGGUCCAGCUCUGGGCCAUGCACAAAAUGGCAUGAUCUGCGAAGGCCAUAAUGCGCAUCCCAACUUCUUGUUUACUAGUUUCGCUCCAUGCACAAAGUCGAUGAAGACAAUACUUGCUUGUCACACACAAAUCAGUUGUAGUUAGCUGUGGGAUGCUUCCUCUGUCUCCGGUGGGCCUCUGCACAGUCUUAGCAAUAUGCUUGUGCGUAGUUUCAGUCAGUCGUAGAUCAUCGUUGCCGUGCUUUCUUUAAACGGUAGUAAUAUGCUUGUGCGUCUUCCUGAUGUUGACACCAGCCAAGUGAGGUCUUCAGACUGAGAAGACCUGAACCGUUCAGGAUUAGAGAAGAGACAAGGUCGCCUGUACAUUUUAGUCCUUAAAAAAUGAUAAUGAUGGAAUGGAGUCCUAUGGAAUAAGAACCUGUCUGCCAACUGUACUGCACGCUUUGAAGGUGGUGGCUUUCAGCCUACAGGGAAUGAAAUUUAUAUAAUUAAUCAUCGUAUUUUUGUUAUUCAUGAUUUGAUUUUUGUGGAAGUAUUGGAUGUUUUAUUGAUAAACUUAU